UAUAGUCGCAAGAUCGAAACUUAAAGGAAUUGGCGGGGAGACAUACAACGAGUGACGCGUGCGGUUCAAUUAGAUUUUACACCGUGAACCUCACCAGGAGCGACAGCAGGAUGAAGGUCAGUCUGAAGGGCUUACCUGACACGCUGAGCGGAGAAGCAUGGCCGACGUCAGCCUGUGCAGUGAUGUGACCUGUUAAAUCAGGUAACAGGCGAGACCCGUGUCGAUAAUUACUACAGAAAUGGGUACCUUAUCGAGACUGCCUUGGUAACAAGGAGGAAGGUGCGGGCUACGUUAGGUGAGUACAUCCCUAAUCCCCUGGGCUACACGCGCGCGGCAAUGGUAUGUUCAAAUGGAUGCGACUCCGAAAGGAGAAGCUAAUCCCCUAACGCAUAUCUCAGUCCAGAUCGAGGGUUGCAACCCACCCUCGUAACGUUGGAAUUCGUAGUAAUCGGAUAUUAGCACUGUCCGGUGAAUAAGUCCCUGUCUCUUGCACACACCGCCCGUCAAACCAACCGAGUUAUGUAGGGAUGAAGCUCAUAAGAGAAAAAUCUUUUCAUGACAAGGUAGGUUAAGUCGUCACAAGGUAUCUGUAGGGGAACCUGCAGAUG
rnacentral:rRNA from 1 species